GAUGAACGCUGGCGGCGUGCUUAACACAUGCAAGUCGAACGAUGAAGCCGGAGCUUGCUCUGGUGAAUUAGUGGCGAACGGGUGAGUAACACGUGAGUAACCUGCCCUUGACUCUGGGAUAACUGCUAGAAAUGGUAGCUAAUACCGGAUACGACCCUCGGAGGCAUCUCCAGGGGGGGGCAAGAAUUUCGGUCAAGGAAGGACUCGCGGCCUAUCAGCUAGUUGGUGAGGUAAUGGCUCACCAAGGCGACGACGGGUAGCCGGCCUGAGAGGGUGACCGGCCACACUGGGACUGAGACACGGCCCAGACUCCUACGGGAGGCAGCAGUGGAGAAUAUUGCACAAUGGGCGCAAGCCUGAUGCAGCAACGCCGCGUGAGGGAUGACGGCCUUCGGGUUGUAAACCUCUUUUAGUAGGGAAGAAGCGAAAGUGACGGUACCUGCAGAAAAAGCACCGGCUAACUACGUGCCAGCCGCCGCGGUAA
rnacentral:rRNA from 1 species